UAGGCCGGCGCCGUGGCUCAAUAGGCUAAUCCUCCACCUUGCGGCGCCGGCACACCGGGUUCUAGUCCCGGUCGGGGCGCCGGAUUCUGUCCCGGUUGCCCCUCUUCCAGGCCAGCUCUCUGCUAUGGCCAGGGAGUGCAGUGGAGGAUGGCCCAGGUGCUUGGGCCCUGCACCCCAUGGGAGCCCAGGAAAAGCACCUGGCUCCUGGCUCCUGCCAUCGGAUCAGCGCGGUGCGCCGGCCGC